GAGUUUGAUCCUGGCUCAGGACGAACGCUGGCGGCGUGCCUAACACAUGCAAGUCGAACGGAGAACUCAAAAAGCUUGCUUUGAGAGUUCUUAGUGGCGGACGGGUGAGUAACGCGUGGGCAACCUCCCCCUUAAACCGGGACAACCCUUGGAAACGAGGGCUAAUACCGGAUACACUUUUCUGAGGACAUCCUCGGGAAAGGAAAGGCGGCCUCUGAAGAUGCUGCCGAUAAGGGAUGGACCCGCGUCUGAUUAGCUGGUUGGUGGGGUAAAGGCCUACCAAGGCGACGAUCAGUAGCCGGCCUGAGAGGGUGAACGGCCACACUGGGACUGAGACACGGCCCAGACUCCUACGGGAGGCAGCAGUGGGGAAUCUUCCGCAAUGGACGAAAGUCUGACGGAGCAACGCCGCGUGUAUGACGAAGGCCUUCGGGUUGUAAAGUACUGUCUUUAGGGACGAACGGUAUCUAUGUGAACAAUGUAGGUACAUGACGGUACCUAAGGAGGAAGCCCCGGCUAACUACGUGCCAGCAGCCGCGGUAAUACGUAGGGGGCGAGCGUUGUCCGGAAUCAUUGGGCGUAAAGGGCGCGUAGGCGGAUUUUUAAGUCUGGUGUGAAAACUUGGGGCUCAACCCCAAGCCUGCAUCGGAAACUGGGAAUCUUGAGGACAGGAGAGGAAAGUGGAAUUCCACGUGUAGCGGUGAAAUGCGUAGAGAU
rnacentral:rRNA from 1 species